AAUUUUGAUACUGCUUAAACACAUGAGAAGUUUCCUUUUUCUUGCUAAAACUGGACAUGGCCAUUUCGGGGGCAAAUAUAGCUGCUCUAGGGCCAGGCUCAUUUCACCUUUAUGCUUUGGUGUCCUUUGUGCAUAAUGGCUGAGCAUCUAAGUAUGUCAGCAUUCCAGAAACAAAGAAGGAAGAAGAAGGAGGAAGAAGUGGCUAUAUGAGAAUUUGGAACAUUUCCAGAAACCCCAGUAAACGUACAUCUUGUUGUCCUGAACCAAGUCCCACAGUGAUCAUUUGCUGCAGUAGAGUCUGACAACUGCUUUUUUCCCCCUCUGGACACAUUUCCUUUCCUGCAGGAGCUGAGAUUCUCUCGAUGAGGAUGGAAUAGGGAAGCGAUAUUGCCCAGGCAAUGCACCAUGGAGACCAGACCUAUCAGAGUCCAGCAGAGGAUGGUGCCCGGGCUUGGUGUGUUGGUCAUUGCUCACUACAAAUGCAAGUCAAAAUGAUAAAUGUCAAACACAAACUACCAUUUUCUUUUCUUUUUUGAGUAAAGCAAUAGCAGCCUUCCUAGUCAUGUUUACUCUUGCACCGAAUGGACGUUUGUUUUCUUGUGUUAUGUGUGUCGUUUUACAAUUGUUACCAAUUUUGGUGAAGAAGUGAAGGUUCAUUUGAUGAGAAGGGGACUUUUGGAGGGGCCAGUUCAUUCAGUUUUCAGAGGGGUCUGAUCUUCAUCUGGUGCACAGGUCCUGGGUGCCUGGCCUCCCCUUGGGAACCACGGUCUCUUAACCCUGCCUCAAGCUGCAGAGGAUUUAAGGUUUUGUCCUAGAAGCCUUUUUAGAAGAAUCUAGAAGUCACUUUUCUAACUUCCUACCUAUAGGCAUCUUGGAGGACCUCACCUGGUUCUUUGUGCAAACAUCUCCAGACAGACAUGCGUCGUCUCCAAGUCAGCCAGUUCUGAAGAGUGUGUCAGAAGGGUGUUGCUCAUAUUAAGCAGAUACCUCCUGUUAGAUUUCAGAAUAUUGUACUAACAGUGAAACUCCAAAACCCAACUGAUCUAGCCUAAGCCAUUGCUGCAGGAUUGUUGCACUGAACUGAAAGCUCCUUGUUCAGCAUAUACCAGUGCCAGUAAAGCUAUAGCAGGUGAUCCUGACUUGAGGAUGGCCUACUUCAGAUAAAGAACAUAGUCUUGGAGGCACAUGGCCUUGAAUCCACAUCCAGACUUCACUUCUGGCCUGGCCAGGACGUCUGUCUACAUCCAUCACCAGGAAGCUUAUUGCAGUAUUGUGCAAUUUGGCCCUAAUUCUGCAGCACUCGAGAAAAUCAGACAGACCUUAAUGGAACUUUUAUAAUGUUCAAAGCUUCAAAGAUGAGCCACUUGUACCCCUGCCAUGGAUGAGCUCACAGUUCCAAUGGAGAAGACACAGGAGCAAACUGAACUGACCAUAGGAUAUGGGACCAAAUCAUAUGAACACUGUCAAGAGCUGACCCCAAAUUUCUCAGAAGUAGGAAAACAUUCAAUGGGAGUGACUGCCUGGGUAUUGGGUUGACCCUGUGACCGUGCAUCGUUAUGCAGAUAACAUCCCUCUGUACCACUAGAUGUUUGGCAUCUUACAUUUCAUUUUGGAUGGACAAGACUACUGGAAUAGGAAUUACUUGGAACUGGUUCAUUAUGUAUUAGUAGGAUAUUGGUACAUACUGCAUUGGGAAGACUAAUGACAGCCUUGGGGGGUGUCAUAGCUUGAUAGUUUAAAGAUUAGCUUCAAGUCAUUAAAUUUGUCCAGUCAU
rnacentral:lncRNA from 1 species